CCCUUAGAUGUUCUGGGCCGCACGCGCGCUACACUGUUCGACGCAGCGAGUCUUAACCUUGACCGAAAGGUUUGGGUAAUCUUCAGCAAAGUCGAACGUGAUGGGGAUCGAUCAUUGCAAUUAUUGAUCGUGAACGAGGAAUUCCUAGUAAGUGCAAGUCAUCAGCUUGCGCUGAUUACGUCCCUGCCCUUUGUACACACCGCCCGUCGCUACUACCGAUUGAAUGGUUUAGUGAGGCCCUCGGAUUGGUCCGGACUCGGGGGUUCCUCCCUUGGGUCCAGGUGCCGAGAAGACGGCCAAACUUGAUUAUCUAGAGGAAGUAAAAGUCGUAACA
rnacentral:rRNA from 1 species